AUGCGUUACAAGGUCAUUUAUUUUGAUGGUUGGAAUGGAUUUGGAGCAUCCGCUGUUCUUAGAUCCACAGCUGCAGUGCUUUCAUCUAGGAGAACCACUCCGGAACUGUGCUUUGACAAAAUAAUUUAUAUUGAUUGCUCAGAGUGGAAAAACAGAAGAGGAGUGCAGAGGGCAAUUGCAAAGGAACUGCAACUUGAUCGCUCUGUAAUGGCUAUUCUUGAUAAGCAAGAUGAAGAUGAUUAUUUUUUGGGACAUGAUGAAAGCCUGAGGCAUGAGAUAGAUAGUGUUAGUCAAGUGAUUGAUCAAACCCUAAGGGGUAUCAAAUUUAUUAUGAUUUUCCUUAAUGGGAGUGAUGACGAGGUUGAUGUGGGUCUCAUGGGUGUUCCUCUUGCAAGAUAUGGCAACAACAUGCUGAUAUGGACCUUCAGCAGAAGCUAUCUGACCAUGCAUCGGGACCGUUCCGAGGUAGCAAAAAAGCUAAGAUAUACUCAAAUUUUCCAUCUUUCUUUUAUCGAAGAAUUGAAGGCCUCACAGUUUCGUGGAGUGCUACAUCAACAAGCUGCUACCAUAGUUGCUCGCAACCCAUGUAUGCUGGACAUUGACCCAGCAAUUAUUGUAGAUUGUUGUCUCUAUGAUUUAUUCCUGCACAAUAAUUUUCACACCGUCACUAAAUUUCAUUGGGUUUCUCAUGCUUCCAACUAUUGGAUAUGUGAUGCAACCAUACAAGGGGACAGAGCAAGGGAUAUUAGUGAUGCAUUGCAUCGAGAGAUAAAUUGGAAGUUUGAUGCUUCUCUGCAUGAUCAUAUUCUUAAAAUAAUGUUCACACAUUCAGAGUCUCCUUUUCUGGUAAUUAAAGACGAUGAUGUCUAUGAAGAAGGCCCAUACCGUUGGAUUUCAGUCGUGUCAAGAGAUGCAGAAGUACAUGGUAUGAAAGCAAUACCUGCAGAGGCAUCAUCUUUCUUCUUGGCAUUUGAAAUACCCAAUCACCCACAAGCUUUACCAGAUGGAUUUUUUGAUCAUUGCAGCAAGCUUGGUGUGUUGAUUCUCUAUUGUUGUGCCUUCAAUUUUGCCUCACCUUGUUUCUUGAAGUGUCAUGGUCUAAGAUUCCUUGGACUGGACCACUGUACAGAUGACAAAACAAUUGAAGGAGAUCAUAAUACAGAGUGGUUAUAUUUGUAUAGCCUAUGGGUGCUGGACCUACGUUACACAAACUGGAAUCAAAUCUUAUCCGAAGAAAAGAUGGAUCUCAUGACUAACAUCAGGGAGCUAAAUAUAGAGGGAGUCAUGGGCUGGCAGUACAUAGCUUGCCUACAGGGGCGGUUACCUAACCUCCGGAGGCUCCGAAUAAUCAAACCAACAUGUCAAUGGGAGACAUCAGAGGCUAUCGAUGACUACUUCAUAGAUAAGAAAAGUAUGGAAAUACUUGACUUGUCAGGCAAUUGUGACAUGAAAUUUCUUCCGACAAACCUAUCAGAGGCAAGUAGCCUCCGGUUGCUUGUACUUGAUGGUUGUGAUGAAUUGGAAAGUGUUGGUGGGCUUCCUCCCACCCUUGAAUCUGUCAGGUUUAAUGGAUAUGGGUCAGCUUCUCAAUGGACGCAAACUGUUGAGCUAUCUCCAAAACAAUUUUGUCCAUCCAGCACAACACAUAAUAAGUAUGUCAGAGUAUCCAAGAUCUCCUUAGCAGGCUGCACACAAUUGGAGCAUUUGUUCUUGUGUUGGCUACCCAACCUAGUGGAAUUGGACCUCUCUGGAACAUCAAUCAAGAUACUUGACUUCAAGACUAUGGUGGUGCAAAUCCCAAGGCUCAAGCGAUUGUUUCUAAUAGGAUGCAAGCACCUUUGUGCAAUAAACUUUUUGCACGAGAGUGUUUCUUACCUGGAGUUGAUAUGCGUAGACACGCGAGCUGGAAUCGUGUGUCCUCGGCCAUCCAUUGGAAAAAACAAACCUUCCCGGUUACAGGUGCAUGCUGUUGUUGUGGACGCGAGGCUUGCUGGCUCCUUGCAGAAUUUGAUCGUUAAUUAUAUACAAUAUAUUGUUCAUUUUAAUAUCCAUGUCACAUCCUCACCUGUGUAUGAUGGAGUUGUUCAGUUUGAAGCAACCAGCAAGGAUAUGAUUGGCCCCAGUGAUCAAGAGAGCAAGCAGCUUAUUCCAGCAGGCUGGUACAGUGAUGUCCUUGGCAUGGUUGGCGCUGCCUCACCCCUAAUGCAGACCUUUCCACAGCCUCCUACUAUAAAGUUGGAUCGACAUGUAGAGAUUGCUCAAGGGAGCUUCUAUGUUGAGAGGGAGCUUCAAGAAGCACUAGGCGAAUUGAUGAUAAGAUCAGAAUCCUUGCAUGUGCAUGAUGUCUCAGUACGUGCUAUUACGCCUCAAGGACGUCUAUGGCGCAAGCUUAGGUGGUGCUGCGUGGAGAGGUGCCCCAAAGUGGACAUCGUCUUCCCUCGGCAGGAAUUUACUGCAUUGGAGACCUUGUGGGUGUCUGACCUCCUAAUGGCCCGCUCGAUUUCGAGUAAAGGUUCACGCACUGGUUAUUAUAGCGAAAUCAUCUCCUUCGGAAAUUUACGGCACCUUCAGCUGCGUUCAUGCCCGAGCCUCCAGUUUGUGCUCCCGCUGCGGGUCCCCUCCAUCCCCAUCUUGGAGACCCUCCACAUCAUCCACUGUGGCGACCUCAGCCACAUCUUCAUACUGAACGAAAAGUACCCUAAAGAAAUAACUACCCGCGGUGUACAAUUCCCAAAGCUGACAACCAUCCACCUGCACGACCUCCCGAAGCUGCAGAACAUAUGCGAGGUCAAGAUGGUGGCCCCUGCGCUCAAGAGCAUCAAGAUCAGGGGAUGCUGGAGCCUGCGCCGGCUGCCAUCCGUGGGUGCCCGUGGCCAAGGCGAGAAGAAGCCAGCCAUCGAGAUUGAGAAGGACGUGUGGGACGCUCUGGAGUGGGACGCCGGCCAUCGCCCCGAGCACCUCGAGCCGCCGGUCUUCUCGCGCUACUACAAGGAGAAGCUGCCCAGGGUCUCCGUCCUCAGGUGA
rnacentral:rRNA from 1 species